UGAGAAGUGCCUGAUUAAAGGGCAAUCUUGAUAGGAUUGAUUAAGUGAAAAUUUCACCUUCUCAA
rnacentral:tRNA from 1 species